CGCGCCUAACGGCGUGCCU
rnacentral:snRNA from 1 species